AAGAAAGAAAAAGAAGAGGCCACGCACGCACUCGGAUCCACGUCUCUUUUAUCCGCCGCCGAUCCGCCGCACCGCCCGACCAAAACCCUAGCCCGCCGCACCGCCGCCGCCGCCGCCGCGAAAUCUUAAACCCGCACAGCAGCGCGCCUCCUCGCACCCCAGCCUCGCCGGCGGCGGCAGCCAUGGCGUUCACCGCCCGCAUGAAGGACCUCGGGAGGAAGUACGGCAAGGUGGCCCUCGGCGUCCACCUCUCCGUCUCCGCCGCCACCGCCACGGGCCUCUACGUCGCCAUCAACAACAACGUCGACGUCGACGCCGUCUUCCGCAAGAUCGGCAUCUCCACCGGCGUCUCCACCGGGGACGAGGCCCCGCCCUCCGCCGACGGCCAGGCGCCGGCGCCCACGCGCAACCGGACCGGGGAGCUCGUGGCUUCAAGCGGCGGCACGCUCGCGCUCGCCCUCCUCUGCAACAAGGCCCUCAUCCCCGUCAGGAUCCCCAUCACCAUCGCGCUCACGCCGCCCAUCGCCAGGCUCCUCGCCCGCUGGAAGCUCGUCAAGAGCCUCAAGACCUGACCUGUGUUCAUCGCAACUCACAAGUGCUCUGGGAGAUUGCUGCAUCUAGGAUUCUUCCACCUUCCAGGGCAUGCUGCGAUAAGGCAACACUGUAAAUUACUCCAAUCUGCAUUUUUUGGCGUCGGCGCGCUUGUCUGAAAUUUUAUCAGGUAGCCGAUGGAUGCACUUGCAACAAAGUUUCACACGCAGGAACUCCUUUUGUCCUCUGAACUCAUGGCAGCAGCACCUCAUCAUCUGAUUUUGUAACAUCUACAAAUAUGUUGAGGACAAAAUAAGCACUACGAUGAUGAAUGCAAGAACCAGUAGAUUUAUUUGUUAGGCCUGUGAUCUCAUGUUCUGUUGAUCUAUGUUUUUGGUUUGUGAUGACAUAAAUGUACUUCAUGUACAGCUUGGGUUUGCUCAAUGCUA